AAUAUACUCCCUCCGUCCCAAAAUUCUUGUCUUACAUUUGUCUAAAUACGGAUGUAUCAAGUCAUGUUUUAGUAUUAGAUACAUCCGUAUCUAAACAAAUCUAAGACAAGAAUUUAAGGACGGAGGGAGUAUAUG
rfam:Triticum aestivum genome assembly, contig: Triticum_aestivum_CS42_TGACv1_scaffold_577504_7BL